AACGAACGCUGGCGGCAUGCCUAACACAUGCAAGUCGAACGAGACCUUCGGGUCUAGUGGCGCACGGGUGCGUAACGCGUGGGAACCUGCCCUUAGGUUCGGAAUAACUCCCCGAAAGGGGUGCUAAUACCGGAUAAUGUCUUCGGACCAAAAAUUUAUCGCCUUUGGAUGGGCCCGCGUUGGAUUAGCUAGUUGGUAGGGUAAAAGCCUGCCAAGGCGACGAUCCAUAGCUGGUCUGAGAGGAUGAUCAGCCACACUGGGACUGAGACACGGCCCAGACUCCUACGGGAGGCAGCAGUGGGGAAUAUUGGACAAUGGGCGAAAGCCUGAUCCAGCAAUGCCGCGUGAGUGAUGAAGGCCUUAGGGUUGUAAAGCUCUUUUACCCGGGAUGAUAAUGACAGUACCGGGAGAAUAAGCUCCGGCUAACUCCGUG
rnacentral:rRNA from 1 species